GCUUGUUUAAUGAAUACACAAGCAUGAUCUUUCUAGGUCUAAAUUUCUUUUUUCAUGUGAAUUUGAUUACCGCAUUUGGGUUGACUGGUUCGUGGAAAAUUCUAUUCAUUAUUUUUGGUGUGUGCCUCUUUUAAUAUUUGACUAGCCCAAAGCUAACAUGGAAGUUGUCGAUGCCGAAGAUUAUGCUUGUGCCUUUGAGUUCUAUAAGCUGUCUUCAAAGGAUAAAUCUCAAACUGACCAGAUGGAGUCAUUUAUGACAUAUUAACAUUCAAUAGGUCUUAUUAAACAAAUUUGUUGGUUAUGUGGAUCUUGCCUUUUUAUUUUUGUUCGUUUCCAAGUUUGUUCUUUUAGAUUGGUGUCCAUCUGCUGCACCAAGUCUUGAACCCUCAGCCUAAUAAACACUUGAGAAACAAGCACAGCAGAUAGGUAGAGGAGCUUGGUAAAUUGGUGUCUUCAAAUUGAUCACCAAGUUGAAAACCAGUUAAAAGCAGAAUUCAGAUGUUCAUUACCAUGUGCUAGGUCAUGCAAUGGUCAUAAUAUGCCUUAUUAUCAUAUCACUUUAUAUCCUUUUGUCUUGAAAGAUGUUGAUACUGUCUAUACUUGAGAUUCUUAUGUGGAUCAAUUAUUUUGCCCACAUUGUAAAAGGAAACAAAAUGUCAUCAACUUGUAUAUUGUGCUAAAAGAUGUAGAUCCAAUAGCCCAGUUCUGAUAAACCAUAGGGAGUGUCAUAUGAAAGAGUUGUGAAGGAAUGUUAAAAAAAUACACACUGGAACUUACCUUAAUCUGAGUUCUGCAAUGUUGGGGGGACUAGAAGAUUGUUAGAAUUAUCCACUUCUGAUAAACCAUAGGGAGUGUCAUAUGGAAGAGUUGUGAAGAAAUGUUAAAAAAAUACACACCGGAACUUACCUUAAUCUGAGUUCUGCAACAUUUGGGGGACUAGAAGAUUGAUAGAAAUAAUUCUAAUAUUUUGCUUCAAUGAUUAGGUCGAAUUUCUACAUUCAAGUUUGAGUUAUUAUAAAGAUUAUUUAAUCUUUUUAAAUCAUGGUUUGUGUAUUAUGUAAGAGAUGUUUGGAAUUUCUUGUCCGAUAUAUUUGAGACAAUAGUUUUUUUUCGGUUCUUUGCUGAAUGAGCAAAGGCAUUCAUUUCAUGGUUUGCUGAAUGAUAUUGGCUUAUUUUCCCUUUUCUCCAGGUACUUUCGGAUGGAUCCUCUGCCAGGACCUGCAGGUAGGUGAUAUUUGUCCUACAUCUUCUCAAGCCUUUAGCUUUGGACAAGUCAGAAGCUAGCUCUGACAGUUAUGAAAUGGGCAUAUGGGGUGGAACACUCGUAGGCAGGCUAUCAAAGAGUCUACUCUGUGAUACGAUGAGAUAAGCGAGAAACAACCAGAGAUUCUUCACUUCUCUAAUACAAUAUAAUUGAAACUUGCACUGUUGUAUCAACAUUGUUUUGCAAACAGUGUAGCAUUGGGGCUGCCCAAAAUACGUUUAUGACACUAGAAUUACAUGGGCAGGUAAUUGCUAUUGUUUUGGAUAAUUCCUGCCUACAGUUUUCCAUUUCAAGCAGUUGAGUUGCAUUCUUCUGUUCAUAGCUCUGUCCAGAAACAUAACAUAAAUCUAUCAGGAUCAGAAUGCAUUCUUUGCGAA